CUAAGGAGUAACGGAACCUCACAGAGCUUGCGUCUUUGUUUAGUUUUGAGUGUGCUCACACUCAAAACUUGCACAUUGAAAACUGAAUAACCAAACAAACCGUUUUAUCAUCCGACAGGAUGGAUGAUAAAACACAUUAUUUCUAAAAUAAUGAACCGAGAAUUGACCGAGUCUGUAAGAAAUUACAGAGUAAGAAAAAAAUAGCGCGAAAGUAUCAUGCAUCAAGUAUGAUCGU
rnacentral:misc_RNA from 1 species